GGAAGGUACAAACACAAAAGCAAAUCCAUGGCCAGGGAGGAGAUUCUUGUACGGGGCAAUGGAGAAAAUGAAAGAGGUGGAGAAAGGAAGUAUUGUAGAUGAGUUGAGCAAUUUAGUGGCGAUUUUUGAAGGGUACAAAGCUCGUCCAAUGGAGAAAGUGGCGUCAUUGGUGAGAGCAAGGAUUGAAGAUUGGACUGUGGCGUUGCCGUAAGUGAGAAGAUUGGUGGAGUUGAAGUUGGUGUUGAAGACAAAUUCAAGAGGUGAUAUUGGGUUGAACAGGGAAAGUAUAAUUGUGGAGAAGAGGAGGACGAUGGUUUGUGGAGACAUGACAGAG
rnacentral:misc_RNA from 1 species